GAAACCCGAGCUAAUACCGCAUAAUUUCUUCGGAACAAAGGAGGCUAGUUUACUAGCUUUCACUUUAAGAUGAGCCUGCGUUGGAUUAGCUUGUUGGUGAGGUAAAGGCUCACCAAGGCGAUGAUCCAUAGCUGGUCUGAGAGGAUGAUCAGCCACACUGGGACUGAGACACGGCCCAGACUCCUACGGGAGGCAGCAGUGGGGAAUAUUGGACAAUGGGGGGAACCCUGAUCCAGCGAUGCCGCGUGUGUGAAGAAGGCCUUCGGGUUGUAAAGCACUUUUAUUUGGGAGGAAUAGGUUGCGCGGAAUAUGCGUAACUAGUGACGUUACCAAAAGAAUAAGCACCGGCUAACCCUGUGCCAGCAGCCGCGGUAAUACAGGGGGUGCAAGCGUUAAUCGGAUUGACUGGGCGUAAAGGGUGCGCANGUGGUGUACUAAGUUAGAUGUGAAAUAUCCGGGCUCAACCUGGAGGGGUCAUCUAAGACUGGUGCGCUAGAGUUCACUA
rnacentral:rRNA from 1 species